AACAGAAAAAAAAAACAGCUUUAAUCUUACAUAAAGUAAUUUAUGAAAACAUUGUUACCUUCUGCCACAAGUUCUUCCACAGUAACCUGAUAACGCCCAAUGGUGAAGCCUCUGCCCACAGUCACCCCUCCACUGGUAGCAGUGCCCGAGGACCCUGGACAUAGACUAGAUCCACCACCACCUCCUCCUCCGCCGCUUUCUGACUUGGGCAUCCGAGAAAACUUCUUCAUUGUGAUUAAAAAGUCUUACCAGCACCUUUAAGGAAAACAACAGCAACCAGAGUGUGCUGGCACCAAAGACUGGCAAAUUCACAGCUCUGUGCCACACUCUCCGCAGAUAUGUCCGGUCACAAGGGGAUAGUUAGUACCUUAUCUCCCUGGAAGGGGAUAUUGAUAUCUCAGUGGUAUUUUAGAUAGCAGCAGGCACACAAAAACAGAAGAGCUCAGUACAAACUGACUUAAAAAAAAAAAAAAAAAUUACAUGCAGCUGCAGCACAUUCUCAGAGCAAUGGCACACACAGCAAAUGCAGUACUGUAUAUAGAAAAUGCAGGUAAUUGGGCACCAGAGCCCCAAUAGCAACAGUGAUAUACACACAGCAUUAAAAAAAAAUAAUAAUAAAUCUCACAUUUGUGUUCUUAUAGAAAGGCUGCAGCAUACACAGUGCUAUGACCUGCAGAGGCAGUGCCCCAUGGUCUCUACCCUCUGAGGGUACUAACACAGUAUCUCACACACUGGGCUCAUCUGUCACCCUGGCACUCAGUGCUUGCUAGCUCGGGGGUCUUCGUGGAGCCCCCCACUUCCACACAGUCCUGCCCGCCGUGCUGGUCACUAGUAGUAGUAGUAGUAGUUGUUGUUGGGUUCUUGAAGUGCUGGAAACGGAAGAGGAUAAUCCGAAAUUCAUCCAUUCAGAGGCCAAAAAACCUCCUUCUGCUUCUGCUUGCUGCGGCUGACAGCUCCACCUCCUGCCCGCCCAGGAAAC